GCCCUCGGUGGCUCAGAUGGAUAGAGCAUCUGCCAGGUAAGCAGGAGAUCCUGGGUUCGAAUCCCGGUCGGGGCA
rnacentral:tRNA from 1 species